ACAUGCUUUUUUAUGAUGACUGCAUAGUUCAACUGAUUCAGACUGAAGAUUAUUUAUAAUGUCUUUCGCUCCUAUCUGAUAGUGUUA
rnacentral:snoRNA from 1 species